rnacentral:rRNA from 1 species
CAGUACCGUGAGGGAAAGGCGAAAAGAACCCCGGCGAGGGGAGUGAAAAAGAACCUGAAACCGUGUACGUACAAGCAGUGGGAGCACCCUUUGGGUGUGACUGCGUACCUUUUGUAUAAUGGGUCAGCGACUUAUAUUCUGUAGCAAGGUUAACCGAAUAGGGGAGCCGGAGGGAAACCGAGUCUUAACCGGGCGUUAAGUUGCAGGGUAUAGACCCGAAACCCGGUGAUCUAGCCAUGGGCAGGUUGAAGGUUGGGUAACACUAACUGGAGGACCGAACCGACUAAUGUUGAAAAAUUAGCGGAUGACCUGUGGCUGGGGGUGAAAGGCCAAUCAAACCGGGAGAUAGCUGGUUCUCCCCGAAAGCUAUUUAGGUAGCGCCUCGUGAAUUCAUCUCCGGGGGUAGAGCACUGUUUCGGCUAGGGGGCCAUCCCGGCUUACCAACCCGAUGCAAACUGCGAAUACCGGAGAAUGUUAUCACGGGAGACACACGGCGGGUGCUAACGUCCGUCGUGAAGAGGGAAACAACCCAGACCGCCAGCUAAGGUCCCAAAGUCAUGGUUAAGUGGGAAACGAUGUGGGAAGGCCCAGACAGCCAGGAUGUUGGCUUAGAAGCAGCCAUCAUUUAAAGAAAGCGUAAUAGCUCACUGGUCGAGUCGGCCUGCGCGGAAGAUGUAACGGGGCUAAACCAUGCACCGAAGCUGCGGCAGCGACACUGUGUGUUGUUGGGUAGGGGAGCGUUCUGUAAGCCUGUGAAGGUGUGUCGU